CACCGCCAUCAUCGAGCCAUGGCCCAGCGACAGAAUGGCCGUAUCGCCUUCCUUGAUCAGCUCCUCGUACGCCACGAAGCUCAUGGUGUCAACGUCUACCAAGUAUCCGGGACCUGGGGAAAUGGUGUGUGAGCGUGAGCUGUGAAGGCGGAGGCCCCUGGAAGGUGUGCUCCAGCGGCGGAGCCGAGUCGCCGCCAAGCCGGGAUUCCGCGGCGCCCCUUGCCCAGAGUCCCCCGGGCGGGCUCCCGACGGCAGGGACGGCUGGCUACCCGCGGAACGGCGCGGGACCUGCAGGCAAUCCCGGAGCGCCUCUCCCGCCCUGGCCACUUAGUCCACGCUCGGACACUCACCCGGCGCACGCCGGCUCUCGGCUCACACGUGGCUCCGUUGCGACCGCCGCACUUCCGGUGCCUUUUGAUGACGUCGACGCCGGCGCGGGGAUUGCCGGGAGCCUCGGCGCUGUCCUCUGCGCGCCCCCAGAGGACGUUUCCUGGCUGGCGUCUCCGCGCCGGUGGCCUUGUGUGCAGACUUGCGCGUUGCCUGGGAGACGCGAGCGCUGUGCAAAAUAAAAGUCCCCUCCUCGCCA